UACGUAGGGGGCGAGCGUUGUCCGGAUUCAUUGGGCGUAAAGAGCUCGUAGGCGGUCGAUCAAGUCGAGUGUGAAAGCCCCCGGCUCAACUGGGGAGGGUCAUUCGAUACUGAUCGACUCGAAGGCAGGAGAGGGUAGUGGAAUUCCCGGUGUAGUGGUGAAAUGCGUAGAUAUCGGGAGGAACACCAGUGGCGAAGGCGACUACCUGGCCUGUUCUUGACGCUGAGGCGCGAAAGCUAGGGGAGCAAACGGG
rnacentral:rRNA from 1 species